GUAGAGUAUAGGCUGGCCAACCAGGGUUCCUCACCCUCUAAAGGUGGCAAGAGGUCCCGCCACUUUGUGUCGGGGCGGGACAUGAGGGUCUGGGCAUGAAGG